rnacentral:rRNA from 1 species
CCCUUAGAUGUUCUGGGCCGCACGCGCGCUACACUGAUGCAUUCAACGAGCCUAUCCUUGACCGACAGGUCCGGGUAAUCUUUGAAUCUGCAUCGUGACGGGGAUAGAUUAUUGCAAUUAUUAAUCUUCAACGAGGAAUGCCUAGUAGGCGCAAGUCAUCAGCUUGCGUCGAUUACGUCCCUGCCCUUGGUACACACCGCCCGUCGCUCCUACCGAUUGGGUGUGCUGGUGAAAUGUUCGGAUCGGCCGUUUGUCGCGGUUUCCGCGGCUCGUGGCUGAGAAGUUCAUUAAACCCUCCCACCUAGAGGAAGGAGAAGUCGUAACA